rnacentral:misc_RNA from 1 species
UAAAUUAGAUUGGAAUCUCAUCAUCUCUUGUUUGUUGGUUUCAUAUACAGGAAUAGGCUAGGACAAGGUUACUGGCCCCAUGUCAUGUCCCUGUCCCUAGCGUUCCCGGAUCGGCGUGGGAUACAGACCACAAUUGCCAGAGGUUAUUGAGACACCGAGGUUCAUAACCAAGAACAUAGUGAAAUUUCACAAAAUGACAAUGUAAAGCCAUUUUUCAAUCAAUCAAGAGCCUGAACUUGAUUUCCAAUUACCAUAACUUUUACUUCCAUCCAGAGAGUACCCAGAUGUCG